rnacentral:tRNA from 1 species
UCCCUGGUGGUCUAGUGGUUAGGAUCCUGGGCUUUCAAUGCUGUAGUCUGGGUUCGAUCCCUGGUUGGGGAA